rnacentral:rRNA from 1 species
CCUACGGGGGGCAGCAGUGGGGAAUAUUGGACAAUGGGGGCAACCCUGAUCCAGCCAUGCCGCGUGUGUGAAGAAGGCCCUCGGGUUGUAAAGCACUUUCAGUGAGGAAGAACGCCUGGUGGUUAAUACCCAUCAGGAAAGACAUCACUCACAGAAGAAGCACCGGCUAACUCCGUGCCAGCAGCCGCGGUAAUACGGAGGGUGCGAGCGUUAAUCGGAAUUACUGGGCGUAAAGCGCGCGUAGGUGGCUUGAUAAGCCGGUUGUGAAAGCCCCGGGCUCAACCUGGGAACGGCAUCCGGAGCUGUCAAGCUAGAGUGCAGGAGAGGAAGGUAGAAUUCCCGGUGUAGCGGUGAAAUGCGUAGAGAUCGGGAGGAAUACCAGUGGCGAAGGCGGCCUUCUGGACUGACACUGACACUGAGGUGCGAAAGCGUGGGUAGCAAACAGGAUUAGAUACCCCAGUAGUC